rfam:Beta vulgaris subsp. vulgaris Bvchr9.sca020.con0103.1, whole genome shotgun sequence.
AUCCCAUGAUGGGGACAAUCUUCCAUUAAGCUCUUGAACCUCUCCCAUGCCUCAAAGAGAGUUUCAUCUCUUACCUCAUCAAAGCUAGCAACCCUUAACCUUAAUUC